GAAACGACUGCUAAGACUGGAUAGGAGAUAAGAAGGCAUCUUUUUAUUUUUAAAAGACCUAGCAAUAGGUAUGCUUAGGGAAGAGCUUGCGUCACAUUAGUUAGUUGGUGGGGUAAUGGCCUACCAAGACGAUGAUGGGUAGCCGGGCUGAGAGGUCGAACGGCCCCAUUGGGACUGAGACACGGCCCAAAUUCCUACGGGAGGCAGCAGUAAGGAAUUUUCGGCAAUGGAGGAAACUCUGACCGAGCAAUGCCGCGUGAACGAUGAAGUAUUUCGGUACGUAAAGUUCUUUUAUUAGGGAAGAAAAGAUGGUGGAAAAACCAUUAUGACGGUACCUAAUGAAUAAGCCCCGGCUAACUAUGUGCCAGCAGCCGCGGUAAUACAUAGGGGGCAAGCGUUAUCCGGAAUUAUUGGGCGUAAAGGGUGCGUAGGCGGUUAAAUAAGUUUAUGGUUUAAGUGCAACGCUCAACGUUGUGAUGCUAUAAAAACUGUUUAGCUAGAGUUGGAUAGAGGCAAGUGGAAUUCCGUGUGUAGUGGUAAAAUGCGUAAAUAUACGGAGGAACACCAGAAGCGAAGGCGGCUUGCUGGGUCUUAACUGACGCUGAGGCACGAAAGCGUGGGGAGCAAACAGGAUUAGAUACCCUGGUAGUCCACGCCCUAAACGAUGAGUACUAAACGUUGGAUAAAACCAGUGUUGAAGUUAACACAUUAAGUACUCCGCCUGAGUAGUACGUACGCAAGUAUGAAACUUAAAGGAAUUGACGGGACUCCGCACAAGCGGUGGAUCAUGUUGUUUAAUUCGAAGGUACCCGAAAAACCUCACCAGGUCUUGACAUGCUUUUGCAAAGCUGUAGAAAUACAGUGGAGGUUAUCAGAAGCACAGGUGGUGCAUGGUUGUCGUCAGCUCGUGUCGUGAGAUGUUGGGUUAAGUCCCGCAACGAGCGCAACCCUUGUUGUUAAUUGCCAUCAUUAAGUUGGGGACUUUAGCAAGACUGCCAAUGAUAAAUUGGAGGAAGGUGGGGACGACGUCAAAUCAUCAUGCCCCUUAUGACCUGGGCUACAAACGUGAUACAAUGGCUGUUACAAAGGGUAGCUAAAGCGUAAGCUUCUGGCGAAUCUCAAAAAAGCAGUCUCAGUUCGGAUUGAAGUCUGCAACUCGACUUCAUGAAGUUGGAAUCGCUAGUAAUCGCGAAUCAGCAUGUCGCGGUGAAUACGUUCUCGGGGUUUGUACACACCGCCCGUCAAA
rnacentral:rRNA from 1 species